rnacentral:misc_RNA from 1 species
GAUGAAGAACGUAGUGAAAUGCGAUAAGUAAUGUGAAUUGCAGAAUUCAGUGAAUCAUCGAAUCUUUGAACGCACAUUGCGCCCACCAGUAUUCUGGCGGGCAUGCCUGUUCGAGCGUCAUUUCAACCCUCAAGCCCCAGCGGCCUGGUGUUGGGGACCGGCGACCUCGCCCGAGCCCGCCCUCCGGGGCGCGUGCCCGGUGCGUCCGCCGCCCCCGAAAUGAAUUGGCGGCCUCGUCGCGGCCUCCUCUGCGUAGUAGCACAACCUCGCAAGCGGGAGCGCGACGCGGCAACUGCCGUAAAACGCCCAACUUUUUUAGAGUUGACCUCGGAUCAGGUAGGAAUACCCGCUGAACUUAAGCAUAUCAAUAAGCGGAGGA